UACGGAGGGUGCAAGCGUUAUCCGGAUUCACUGGGUUUAAAGGGUGCGUAGGCGGACAGGUAAGUCAGUGGUGAAAUCUCCGAGCUUAACUCGGAAACUGCCUUUGAUACUCUCUGUCUUGAAUAUGGUGGAGGUAAGCGGAAUAUGUCAUGUAGCGGUGAAAUGCUUAGAGAUGACAUAGAACACCUAUUGCGAAGGCAGCUUACUACACAAUUAUUGACACUGAGGCUCGAAAGCGUGGGGAUCAAACAGG
rnacentral:rRNA from 1 species